UGGAGUGAAUAUUAGCAGCAAUGGAGGAAACUCUGACCCAGCAACGUCGCGUGAAGGAUGACGGAGACAAGUCGUAACUUCUAUCCUUGGGGAAAAUACAAAAUAGGGGCCGAGAAGGAAAACCCGGCUAACUACGUGCGAGCAGCCGCGGUAAUACGUAGGGGGCAAGCGUUGUCCGGAAUGAUUGGGCGUAAAGGGCGCGUAGGCUUUGGAUUGAAAGUUGGAUUUUAAGUCUUGCUUUUCAGGUGGGAAUUGCUUUGGAAACUGUCUUUCUUGAGUGCAGAAGAGGUAGGUGGAAUUCCUGGUGUAGCGGUGAAAUGCGUAGAGAUUGGGAGGAACACCAGUGGCGAAGGCGGCUUGCUGGGCUGUAACUGACGCUGAGGCUCGAAAGUGUGGGGAGCAAACAGGAUUAGAUACCCUGGUAGUCCGGGGGGGUAAACGAUGAUUGCUAGGUGUGGGGGGUAUGAACCCCUUCUGGGCGGGAGUUACCCCAUUAGGCAUUCCCCCUGGGGAGUAGGG
rnacentral:rRNA from 1 species